UGGGAUUGGAGAACUUCUGUGGGGCCAGUUCAUCUCCGCAAUACCUACCCGAUCCCUGAAGUUCCUGAAGGAGGCUGGGCAUGGCACCACCAAAGAGGAGAUCACCAAGGAUGCCGAGGGACUGGAUGAGAUUGACCAUGCUGAGAUGGAGCUGCGCCGAGGCCAGAUCCUCUGGUUCCGGGGCCUGAACCGUAUCCAGACUCAGGUACUCUGAUAGUGGUCUGUCCUUCCCUUGGGAGAAGCAGCUUCCCAUCCAGGUGUUGGGAGGGUAGCAGUUCUUGUUGGCCAGCAUCUCUUCCCUUCCAAAGGCUCACUACUGAUGGGCAGCCCUAGAUCCUCAGCUUCAGGACAGACACGCAAAAGGAUCUGUGUGGGGUCCUCUGA
rnacentral:sRNA from 1 species